CACGUAGGGGGCGAGCGUUGUCCGGAUUCAUUGGGCGUAAAGCGCGCGCAGGCGGCUCGGAAAGUCGGAUGUGAAAACUCGGGGCUCAACCCCGGGCGUGCAUCCGAUACUGCCGGGCUUGAGGCAGGUAGGGGAGAUCGGAAUUCCUGGUGUAGCGGUGAAAUGCGCAGGUAUCAGGAGGAACACCGGUGGCGAAGGCGGAUCUCUGGGCCUGUCCUGACGCUGAGGCGCGAAAGCGUGGGGAGCAAACAGG
rnacentral:rRNA from 1 species